rnacentral:rRNA from 1 species
GACGAACGCUGGCGGCGUGCUUAACACAUGCAAGUCGAACGGAAAGGCCCUGCUUUUGUGGGGUGCUCGAGUGGCGAACGGGUGAGUAACACGUGAGUAACCUGCCCUUGACUUUGGGAUAACUUCAGGAAACUGGGGCUAAUACCGGAUAGGAGCUCCUGCUGCAUGGUGGGGGUUGGAAAGUUUCGGCGGUUGGGGAUGGACUCGCGGCUUAUCAGCUUGUUGGUGGGGUAGUGGCUUACCAAGGCUUUGACGGGUAGCCGGCCUGAGAGGGUGACCGGCCACAUUGGGACUGAGAUACGGCCCAGACUCCUACGGGAGGCAGCAGGGGGGAAUAUUGCACAAUGGGCGGAAGCCUGAUGCAGCAACGCCGCGUGCGGGAUGACGGCCUUCGGGUUGUAAACCGCUUUCGCCUGUGGCGAAGCGUGAGUGACGGUAAUGGGUAAAGAAGCACCGGCUAACUACGUG